rnacentral:rRNA from 1 species
UACGUAGGGUGCAAGCGUUAAUCGGAAUUAUUGGGCGUAAAGAGCUCGUAGGUCGUUUGUUACGUCGGAUGUGAAAACCUGAGGCUCAACCUCAGGCCUGCAUUCGAUACGGGCAAACUAGAGUUUGGUAGGGGAGACUGGAAUUCCUGGUGUAGCGGUGGAAUGCGCAGAUAUCAGGAGGAACACCAAUGGCGAAGGCAGGUCUCUGGGCCAAUACUGACACUGAGGAGCGAAAGUCUGGGGAGCGAACAGG